rnacentral:rRNA from 1 species
GGUUCCGCCUGCCCAGUGACUCUUUUUAAACGGCCGCGGUAUCCUAACCGUGCAAAGGUAGCAUAAUCACUUGUCCCUUAAAUAGGGACUAGCAUGAAUGGCUAAAUGAGGACUUAACUGUCUCUUACAGCCCGCCAAUAAAACUGAUCUCCCAGUACAAAAGCUGGAAUAAACCCAUAAGACGAGAAGACCCUGUGGAGCUUCAAAUCAAACCCACAACCAUGGUUCUAGAUUUUUAGUUGGGGCGACUUCGGAGCAUAAAAAACCCUCCAAACAUGUAUUAUUCAACCUUAUCGAGACUAACACACCAAAACACAACAAAAGACCCAGCAACAUUUUAAUGUUGUCUGAUAAAUGAACCAAGUUACCCCAGGGAUAACAGCGCCAUCCCCUUCUAGAGUCCCUAUCGACAAGGGG